rnacentral:rRNA from 1 species
UUCGCAAUGCCCGAAAGGGUGACGAAGCGACGCCGCGUGUGGGAAGAAGGCCUUCGGGUUGUAAACCACUGUCGGGAGUUAAGAAAUGCAAGGAUAUUAAUAGUGUCUUUGUUUGACUAAGGCUCCGGAGGAAGCCACGACUAACUCUGUGCCAGCAGCCGCGGUAAUACAGAGGCGGCAAGCGUUGUUCGGAAUUAUUGGGCGUAAAGAGCACGUAGGCGGCUAUGUAAGUCGGUUGUGAAAGCCUUCCGCUCAACGGAAGAACAGCAUCCGAUACUACAUGGCUUGAGUGCGGGAGGGGAGAGUGGAACUUCUGGUGGAGCGGUGAAAUGCGUAGAUAUCAGAAGGAACGCCGGCGGCGAAAGCGGCUCUCUGGCCCAUAACUGACGCUGAGUGUGCGAAAGCUAGGGGAGCAAACGGGAUUAGAUACCCCGGUAGUCCUAGCCGUAAACGAUGGGCACUAAGUAGAGGGGUUUU